rnacentral:tRNA from 1 species
GGAGGGAUGGCUGAGUGGUCGAAAGCGCACGACUCGAAAUCGUGUAGACGAGCAAUCGUCUCGGGGGUUCGAAUCCCCCUCCCUCCGCCA